rnacentral:rRNA from 1 species
UGGGGAAUAUUGGACAAUGGGCGCAAGCCUGAUCCAGCCAUGCCGCGUGAGUGAUGAAGGCCCUAGGGUUGUAAAGCUCUUUCACCGGUGAAGAUAAUGACGGUAACCGGAGAAGAAGCCCCGGCUAACUUCGUGCCAGCAGCCGCGGUAAUACGAAGGGGGCUAGCGUUGUUCGGAUUUACUGGGCGUAAAGCGCACGUAGGCGGACUAUUAAGUCAGGGGUGACAUCCCGGGGCUCAACCCCGGAACUGCCUUUGAUACUGGUAGUGUUGAGUUCGAGAGAGGUGAGUGGAAUUCCGAGUGUAGAGGUGAAAUUCGUAGAUAUUCGGAGGAACACCAGUGGCGAAGGCGGCUCACUGGCUAGAUACUGACGCUGAGGUGCGAAAGCGUGGGGAGCAAAAAGG